rnacentral:rRNA from 1 species
UACGGAGGGGGCUAGCGUUGUUCGGAAUGACUGGGCGUAAAGCGCGCGUAGGCGGUUCAGGAAGUUGGGGGUGAAAUCCCGGGGCUCAACCCCGGAAUGGCCUUCAAAACUCCUGGUCUUGAGUUCGAGAGAGGUGAGUGGAAUUCCGAGUGUAGAGGUGAAAUUCGUAAAUAUUCGGAGGAACACCAGUGGCGAAGGCGGCUCACUGGCUCGACACUGACGCUGAGGUGCGAAAGCGUGGGGAGCAAACAGG